rnacentral:tRNA from 1 species
GGGGUUGUGGCUCAGUGGUAGAGUGCUUGCCUAGCCUGCAUGAGGUACUGGGUUCAAUCCUCAAAACCACA